rnacentral:rRNA from 1 species
UGGGGAAUAUUGCACAAUGGGCGCAAGCCUGAUGCAGCCAUGCCGCGUGUGUGAAGAAGGCCUUCGGGUUGUAAAGCACUUUCAGCGAGGAGGAAGGUGGUGGACUUAAUACGUUCAUCAAUUGACGUUACUCGCAGAAGAAGCACCGGCUAACUCCGUGCCAGCAGCCGCGGUAAUACGGAGGGUGCAAGCGUUAAUCGGAAUUACUGGGCGUAAAGCGCACGCAGGCGGUUUGUUAAGUCAGAUGUGAAAUCCCCGGGCUCAACCUGGGAACUGCAUUUGAAACUGGCAAGCUAGAGUCUCGUAGAGGGGGGUAGAAUUCCAGGUGUAGCGGUGAAAUGCGUAGAGAUCUGGAGGAGUACCGGUGGCGAAGGCGGCCCCCUGGACGAAGACUGACGCUCAGGUGCGAAAAGCGUGGGGCAGCAAACAGGAUUAGAUACCCUGGUAGUCCACGCUGUAAACAAUGUCGAUUUGGAGGUUGUGCCCUUGAGGCGUGGCUUCCGGAGCUAACGCGUUAAAUCGACCGCCUGGGGAGUACGGCCGCAAGGUUAAAACUUAAAUGAAUUG